AGCUCAGUUGGUUAGAGCGCGCCCCUGAUAAGGGCGAGGUCGACCGUUCGACUCGGUCC
rnacentral:tRNA from 1 species